UCGAGAAUUUUUCUCAAUGGGGGAAACCCUGAAGGAGCGACGCCGCGUGGAGGAUGAAGGUCUUCGGAUUGUAAACUCCUGUCAUUGGUGAACAAGGCCGCCGGUUAACUGCCGGUUGGUUUGAUAGUAGCCGAAGAGGAAGAGACGGCUAACUCUGUGCCAGCAGCCGCGGUAAUACAGAGGUCUCAAGCGUUGUUCGGAUUCAUUGGGCGUAAAGGGUGCGUAGGCGGCGGGGCAAGUCUGAUGUGAAAUCCCGGGGCUCAACCCCGGAACUGCAUUGGAUACUGCUCUGCUAGAGUACUGGAGAGGAGACUGGAAUUUACGGUGUAGCAGUGAAAUGCGUAGAUAUCGUAAGGAAGACCAGUGGCGAAGGCGAGUCUCUGGACAGUUACUGACGCUGAGGCACGAAGGCCAGGGGAGCAAACG
rnacentral:rRNA from 1 species